rnacentral:tRNA from 1 species
AGCCUCUUUAGCUCAGUUGGCCAGAGCACGUGAUUUGUAAUCUCGGGGUCGUUGGUUCGAAUCCGACAAGAGGCUCAAG